rnacentral:ncRNA from 1 species
CUCAUCGAGAGUGGCGGAGGGAACUGGCCCUGUGAAGCCACAGCAACCAUGGCUCAGGCCAACGGUGCUAAUUCCUGCAAUGUGCGACCAUUGUGAGAUGAGG